AAGAGAGCAGAAAAGAGAUUAUCUUUUGUUUGAUACCUUAAGAAUGAUGCAGAACGUGCUUAAUGUCCAUGUUUUAAGAAUAAUCUGAAGCAGUGUGGCACAAAAAUGGUCUAUUAUUUCAGGCCUAAUAUUUUUUAAUAUGUAUUUCUAUUUGCGAAAUAUUAUUUAAGGACAUUACUUUAAAAUUAUUCAGUGUUAGACUGUCUUCCCUGACUUAGUAGAGAUCUUUUUAAUUUCCUCUGCAGCACCGAACAAUUGAAAAUAUGUAUAAUAUUCCUAACUUUUUUUGCAAGACUUUAUUUUUCUGAUAUGUUAUUGUACAAUAUUUAAUUCUAAAUUUAUUUCAAUUUCUCCCCCUUCAGUUUAAUGAGUGGUGUUAAGAAUAAUGUUGGAAGAGGGAUCAAUGUUGCCUUGGCAAAUGGAAAAACAGGAGAAGUAUUAGACACUAAAUAUUUUGACAUGUGGGGAGGAGGUAAGUGUAAAUAACAUGACUGUGUUCUUUUGCUGGCACUGACUUAAUCACCUCAAUACAAUGUAGCCCAUUAAUGAGAGAAUGAUGAUGCUAUUUGUGUUAGUUCAUUUUGUUUCCCUUACUUUCUGUUCACUAAAUGUCCAGCUGUAUUUAAGUUAUCAUUCAUGUUUUAUAUACUUUCUUCUUCUUAGA
rnacentral:sRNA from 1 species